rnacentral:rRNA from 1 species
GGUUAAGUUAGAAAGGGCGCACGGUGGAUGCCUUGGCACUAGGAGCCGAUGAAGGACGGGACGAACACCGAUAUGCUUCGGGGAGCUGUAAGCAAGCUUUGAUCCGGAGAUUUCCGAAUGGGGAAACCCACCACUCGUAAUGGAGUGGUAUCCAUAUCUGAAUACAUAGGAUAUGAGAAGGCAGACCCGGGGAACUGAAACAUCUAAGUACCCGGAGGAAGAGAAAGCAAAUGCGAUUCCCUGAGUAGCGGCGAGCGAAACGGGACCAGCCCAAAACCAAGAGGCUUGCCUCUUGGGGGUUGUAGGACACUCUGUACGGAGUUACAAAGGAACGAGGUAGAUGAAGAGGUCUGGAAAGGCCCGCCAUAGGAGGUAACAGCCCUGUAGUCAAAACUUCGUUCUCUCCUGAGUGGAUCCUGAGUACGGCGGAACACGUGAAAUUCCGUCGGAAUCCGGGAGGACCAUCUCCCAAGGCUAAAUACUCCCUAGUGACCGAUAGUGAACCAGUACCGUGAGGGAAAGGUGAAAAAGCACCCCGGAAGGGGAGUGAAAGAGAUCCUGAAACCGUGUGCCUACAAGUAGUCAGAGCCCGUUAACGGGUGAUGGCGUGCCUUUUGUAGAAUGAACCGGCGAGUUACGAUCCCGUGCAAGGUUAAGCAGAAGAUGCGGAGCCGCAGCGAAAGCGAGUCUGAAUAGGGCGAAUUGAGUACGUGGUCGUAGACCCGAAACCAGGUGAUCUACCCAUGUCCAGGGUGAAGUUCAGGUAACACUGAAUGGAGGCCCGAACCCACGCACGUUGAAAAGUGCGGGGAUGAGGUGUGGGUAGGGGUGAAAUGCCAAUCGAACCUGGAGAUAGCUGGUUCUCUCCGAAAUAGCUUUAGGGCUAGCCUCAAGGUAAGAGUCUCGGAGGUAGAGCACUGAUUGGACUAGGGGCCCCUACCGGGUUACCGAAUUCAGUCAAACUCCGAAUGCCGAUGACUUAUCCUUGGGAGUCAGACUGCGAGUGAUAAGAUCCGUAGUCGAAAGGGAAACAGCCCAGACCGCCAGCUAAGGUCCCAAAGUAUACGUUAAGUGGAAAAGGAUGUGGAGUUGCUUAGACAACCAGGAUGUUGGCUUAGAAGCAGCCACCAUUUAAAAGAGUGCGUAAUAGCUCACUGGUCGAGUGACUCUGCGCCGAAAAAUGUACCGGGGGCUAAACGUAUCACCGAAGCUGCGGACUGUUCUUCGAACAGUGGUAGGAGAGCGUUCUAAGGGCUGUGAAGCAAGACCGGAAGGACUUGUGGAGCGCUUAGAAGUGAGAAUGCCGGUAUGAGUAGCGAAAGAGGGGUGAGAAUCCCCUCCACCGAAUGCCUAAGGUUUCCUGAGGAAGGCUCGUCCGCUCAGGGUUAGUCGGGACCUAAGCCGAGGCCGAAAGGCGUAGGCGAUGGAUAACAGGUUGAUAUUCCUGUACCACCUCCUCACCAUUUGAGCAAUGGGGGACGCAGGAGGAUAGGGUAAGCGCGGUAUUGGAUAUCCGCGUCCAAGCAGUUAGGCUGGGAAAUAGGCAAAUCCGUUUCCCGUGAAGGCUGAGCUGUGAUGGCGAGCGAAUUAUAGUAGCGAAGUUCCUGAUUCCACACUGCCAAGAAAAGCCUCUAGCGAGGUGAGAGGUGCCCGUACCGCAAAACCGACACAGGUAGGCGAGGAGAGAAUCCUAAGGUGAUCGAGAGAACUCUCGUUAAGGAACUCGGCAAAAAUGACCCCGUAACUUCGGGAGAAGGGGUGCUCUGUUAGGGUGCAAGCCCGAGAGAGCCGCAGUGAAUAGGCCCAGGCGACUGUUUUAGCAAAAAAACACAGGUCUCUGCGAAGCCGUAAGGCGAAGUAUAGGGGCUGACGCCUGCCCGGUGCUGGAAGGUUAAGAGGAGCGCUUAGCGUAAGCGAAGGUGCGAAUUGAAGCCCCAGUAAACGGCGGCCGUAACUAUAACGGUCCUAAGGUAGCGAAAUUCCUUGUCGGGUAAGUUCCGACCCGCACGAAAGGCGCAACGAUCUGGGCACUGUCUCAACGAGAGACUCGGUGAAAUUAUAGUACCUGUGAAGAUGCAGGUUACCCGCGACAGGACGGAAAGACCCCGUGGAGCUUUACUGCAGCCUGAUAUUGAAUGUUGGUACAGCUUGUACAGGAUAGGUAGGAGCCUUGGAAACCGGAGCGCCAGCUUCGGUGGAGGCAUCGGUGGGAUACUACCCUGGCUGUAUUGACCUUCUAACCCGCCGCCCUUAUCGGGCGGGGAGACAGUGUCAGGUGGGCAGUUUGACUGGGGCGGGCGCCUCCUAAAAAGGUAACGGAGGCGCCCAAAGGUUCCCUCAGAAUGGUUGGAAAUCAUUCGCAGAGUGUAAAGGCACAAGGGAGCUUGACUGCGAGACCUACAAGUCGAGCAGGGACGAAAGUCGGGCUUAGUGAUCCGGUGGUUCCGCAUGGAAGGGCCAUCGCUCAACGGAUAAAAGCUACCCCGGGGAUAACAGGCUUAUCUCCCCCAAGAGUCCACAUCGACGGGGAGGUUUGGCACCUCGAUGUCGGCUCAUCGCAUCCUGGGGCUGUAGUCGGUCCCAAGGGUUGGGCUGUUCGCCCAUUAAAGCGGUACGCGAGCUGGGUUCAGAACGUCGUGAGACAGUUCGGUCCCUAUCCGUCGCGGGCGCAGGAAAUUUGAGAGGAGCUGUCCUUAGUACGAGAGGACCGGGAUGGACGCACCGCUGGUGUACCAGUUGUUCUGCCAAGGGCAUCGCUGGGUAGCUAUGUGCGGACGGGAUAAGUGCUGAAAGCAUCUAAGCAUGAAGCCCCCCUCAAGAUGAGAUUUCCCAUUCCGCAAGGAAGUAAGAUCCCUGAAAGAUGAUCAGGUUGAUAGGUCUGAGGUGGAAGUGUGGCGACACAUGGAGCUGACAGAUACUAAUCGAUCGAGGACUUAACCAA